AGUACCAAUCCGUAUGAGCGGCGGACGGGUGAGUAAUGUCUGGGAAACUGCCUGAUGGAGGGGGAUAACUACUGGAAACGGUAGCUAAUACCGCAUACCAUCAGCUGUGCCCAGCUGGGAUUAGCUAGUAGGUGGGGUAAUGGCUACCCUAGGCGACGAUCCCUAGCUGGUCUGAGAGGAUGACAAGCCACAAUGGAACUGAGCAACGGUCCAUACUCCUACGGUAGGCAGAAGUGGGGAAUAUUGCACAAUGGGCGCAAGACUGAUGCAGCCAGGCCGCGGGUGUGAAGAAGGCCUUCGGGUUGUAAAGCACUUUCAGCGAGGAGGCGUUACUCGCAGAAGAAGCACCGGCUAACUCCGUGCCAGCAGCCGCGGUAAUAC
rnacentral:rRNA from 1 species